CUGCAAUGCUUAUAUAGAUGGAAAUUUCAAAUUGGCUGCCUCUGUAUACAUAUAGAUGUUGUACAAGCAGGACUCUCAAUCUCACUCAAGUUGAUGGGUCAGUUGCACGAAUGGUAACUGUAAUCCACACUGGUCACGGGAAAAAGUGCCGCUGUGUGCGAAUCAAUUGUAGUUUCUCCGGAAAAGAUGUUACAGCCAGUGUAUGAAGACUGAAUUUUUGAUAGGUCACAGGUGCUCUCGCAAAGACUGAUGGCCUGGCAGCAUAAACUAUUCUAUGGUUAUAGGGGUAAUGUCUUUAAACAGAAGCAUGCUGUUGUGGAGUGAAAGUGCACAAACCAUUGAUAACCCUUUGGAGAAUCAGUACCAGAUGUCUUUUCAAAUGUUUGCCAUUCUGAAAAUUUUUUUGACUUGAGCAGUGUCAAACAGUCU